rnacentral:tRNA from 1 species
GCCUUCGUGGUGUAGUGGUCAGCACGCUCGACGCGUAAUCGAGAGGUCCGUGGUUCGAGUCCCAGCAAGAGCA